rnacentral:lncRNA from 7 species
CUUCUACCUGGUUCUGGUUGGUUUAUCCUUGCUCCUCCACACCGGUUCCUCUCCCCAGUCGCCGAAUCAGCCAUCUUCAUAUCUUGGGCCAUCUGCUCCAACCUCAGCUCUGCCACAGCCUUGUCCGUCCACUCUAGCUAUUGUGCUAGAAGGACGAUCUCCUCUGUUGUCCUCUACGCCACAGUCGCCGCCAGCCUUGCCUGCGCCAGCAACUGUUGCUGCACCUCAUCCAUACCCAUCACCUUCUGUGUGAGCCAAUCCAUCUUCUUCAUC